rnacentral:tRNA from 1 species
GUCGAAGUGGCGGAAUUGGUAGACGCGCACGACUCAAAAUCGUGUACCGCAAGGUGUGAGGGUUCGAUUCCCUCCUUCGGCA